UUAGUUAUUUAACUGCAUAGUGAGUAUGCUUUCAGGGGCUCUGUUAUGCACUUACGUAUGCUUUAAGCCAAAAAUCAGCAUGUCACAGUGUGCUUAGCCAGGUUUUUAAACUCAACUUGACCUAUUGCUGCCAGUAAAUUGUUAAACAAAGCUACUAAGGUGGGGGACAAUCCGUUCUGAUCGGAUAAUCACAACUUAAUACUUGCAGUGCGGGGAAGUAUUUCCUGGUCUUUCUUUCACAUGAACUGACAUGUUAAAGUAACGAGAGCAACAUCUGUAACUGCACCCACCGAUUCUCAACUGCUUCUGAGUGGGGGUCAGAAGCUAGAGUGGUUGAUAUGUGCAAAACGUAUACUGUAGCUAAUAUGAUUUUAAUAAUUCUGUGUGGGGUUUCUGUUUUUUCUUUGCCUUGUUAUCCAUGAAGGCCACAUGCUUCCAAAGUCUGUAAUUAAUGGAAUAAUCAACAGGUGUAGAAACCAAAAGUUCCAGAGGACCAACAACCUCCUAGAUGGGUGUCAGACGAAGAUGUGUUCGAGCUGGUCAAACUUCUUGGGUUCAAACAAAGGCGUCUAGGAUAAGCUUGGGUAGAUUUCUGUGUUGGUCAACUGGCUAAAAGAAGAAUCACCAUUUCCCUUGCCUACAAGAAAGACAAAGUCAGCUGUUUGGAAAGCCCACCCGUUGCCAACCAUCACUCUUAUUGAGAGAAUUUGUUUUAUUAAAACUACAGUUGACAUGUAACAAGGCAUGCAAAGACAACUGUACUGCCUGAACCGAUACACACAUUAACUAACCAGUGACUACCAGCUUCGUGUUACUCUAGAAAGACUGACACAGCAUAUUUUUGUCCAAUCAGCGUGCUUACUGAAAGUUAUCACUAAUUUUACUUUACUAUCGUUUUUGUAGCAGAAAUUGUUGCUUUUCUGUUCAAAGUAAAAACAAGUCAAUUUUCACAUUUUGUUUUUUAACUUUGAUGCAAUUAUCAUAAUUACAUGUUUUUCUGCUCAAGGCUGUCAUACCGUGCAAAUCUCAUAUCAGCCAAUAUCUAAUUAAGGACAAAAAAUCUGAUCUAAACUCAAUGAUGCUGUGUGUAUUAAUUCAGGAAACAAUCAGUUUCCUGAAUUAACUGAUUAAUUCCUUUUCUAAGCUUAUUUUUACAGAUUUAACCAAAAUAACAGAGACAAAUAUGAAAAGAUUCUCAAAAUGUGUUUCAUAUUGGGAGAAGGUUUUAGAAAUAUUCACACUAAAUGUUUGCAAAUAUCAUUACUUGUGAUAUCUAGAUAUUAAGGUAGGUAUUGUUGAGACGUUUACUCCAGACACGCACCAUACAUGCACGCACACACAUCUACGGACACAAAGAUUCUGCACAAAAGCCUUUUGUUUCAUACGGACACUUUCUGUAGAAACGAAACUUAACUUUAGCUCAUCGUCUGACCACUAGGCAGUGACGUAACACACCAGCAGACCAGGAGGCGGACUUUAGGAUAUAAGCAAGGUGUCUUCCGUGUUUGAGCAGAUGCUGUAUAGAUUCGGGCCUUUACACUUGACAUCCACAUAAGCCUGUAAGGGUAAGCGUCUCUUUCUUUUUAGCGCUAAAAAGAAUAAAAUAAGUAAACUCUGA